rnacentral:rRNA from 1 species
CCUACGGGAGGCAGCAGUAGGGAAUAUUGCUCAAUGGGGGAAACCCUGAAGCAGCAACGCCGCGUGGAGGAUGAAGGUUUUCGGAUUGUAAACUCCUUUUGUUAGAGAAGAUAAUGACGGUAUCUAACGAAUAAGCACUGGCUAACUCCGUGCCAGCAGCCGCGGUAAUAUGGAGGGUGCAAGCGUUACUCGGAAUCACUGGGCGUAAAGAGCACGUAGGCGGGAUAGCAAGUCAGGUGUGAAGUCCUAUGGCUUAACCAUAGAACUGCAUUUGAUACUAUUAUUCUAGAGUAUCAGAGAGGAAGGUAGAAUUCUUGGUGUAGGGGUAAAAUGCGUAGAGAUCAAGAGGAAUACUGAUAGCGAAGGCGACCUGCUAG